AUUUUACUCUGACUUUUAAAGUUUUUGGCAUGAAACCAAAAGAGAAAACAAAACUCAAAUGCAAUAUAAUCCUAGUGAGAAAGAUGAAGCUCUCUUCUUCAGAAAUCUCUUUUAAGGAGCUGCUUUGGCCAUAUGGAAAGAUUGCUAUUACUCCCUCAGCACAGAAAUAACAAGGUAUAAUAGCUAACCAAAAUGACAAAUGCUUUCUGUUUAUUAGUAGAGAGAUAUUCUGCAUUGACAGUAUCUCCUUUACUGUUCCACUAAAAUCAGGCAGGAAAUAAAAUGAGAUCCCAAAUACCCCAAAUGAGAGUGAUAAAAAACAGCAAUACUCAUGGGGAAGAGACCCUAAAGCUUUGUAGAGAAUUCACCGUAAUGGGUAAAGGACCACUGCUCUUUUGACUGAACUGAAAAUCUCAUUUGUGAAACAGAAGAGGGGAUCUUCAGGACUGGUGCAGACAGAUCAGAUAUUCUCCAGCAUAAGAGAACAUGUUCUCUAGUACUGUAGCAUCCACAAGUAUAAUCCUGAUCCAAGGGAUGGAAUACCUCUCCUACAAGGACAGGCUGAGAGAGCUGAGGCUGUACAGCCCAGAAAAGAGAAAGUUCUGGGGAGACCUUAUAGCAAGCCUUUGGUAUCUGAAGGAGAUCUGUAAGAAGGGGACAGACAUGUCAGCAGAGUCUGUUGUGAUAGGGUAAGGUUAAUAGUUUGUAUAUUUGAAUGCCAAUUUUUAAAAAGAUUACAUUAUGAGAGCAGUUGGUGUAUUGAGCUACAACUCUUGCUGCAUAUGAAAAAAUGUUAAAAUGCUGACACUAAUUAGAAUGUGUAAAAGUCAGACAGGAGUUAAAAUUACAUUCAUAUGGCAUCAUUAAGAUUGGAAAAGACCACUAAGAUCAUCUAGUCCAACCAUCAACCCCUCAGCACUGUGCCGCCAACCAUGUCUCUCAGUGCCACAUCUACA
rnacentral:lncRNA from 1 species